rnacentral:tRNA from 1 species
GGCUUCAUAGCUCAGCAGUUGGUUAGAGCGUCGCAUCGGUUUCGCGAGGUCACGGGUUCAAACCCCGUUGAAGUUC